GGUAGUCCACGCCGUAAACGGUGGGUACUAGGUGUGGGUUUCCUUCCUUGGGAUCCGUGCCGUAGCUAACGCAUUAAGUACCCCGCCUGGGGAGUACGGCCGCAAGGCUAAAACUCAAAGAAAUUGACGGGGGCCCGCACAAGCGGCGGAGCAUGUGGAUUAAUUCGAUGCAACGCGAAGAACCUUACCUGGGUUUGACAUGCACAGGACGCCGGCAGAGAUGUCGGUUCCCUUGUGGCCUGUGUGCAGGUGGUGCAUGGCUGUCGUCAGCUCGUGUCGUGAGAUGUUGGGUUAAG
rnacentral:rRNA from 1 species